rfam:Glossina austeni unplaced genomic scaffold Scaffold88, whole genome shotgun sequence.
GGAGGGUAGUUUUUAGUACGUAAGCGCCAUCAAUAGCGAAUCGUGCAUGCUUGUACUAAGAACCAGCAGUAUCUUUUGAAGAUUUUCUACCUCC